GAGCCUGUAGCUCAGUUGGUAGAGCACGAGACUUUUAAUCUUGGGGUCGAGGGUUCGAUUCCCUCCGGGCUCACCA
rnacentral:tRNA from 1 species